AUGGGGUGCCCCCGCGCCGUGCGGGCGUGUCGGUCGGCGUGUGUUGGGGCCGUGGCGAUCUGCCUCCUCCCGGUCGUACUGCCGCUGCUGCUCCUCUGGCUGCCGCUUCUCUCCUUCGCCGUCGCCGUCGUCCGGUUCCGCCGCCGGCGGAGGAGAAUGAUGAUGACUAGGGGUGGCCGCUGCUUUCACGGCGGUGAUCGAUCGCCUCCGCCGGAAAGUGAGCCGGAUGGCCACCGGGCGGCGCGGCUGCACAAGUACCUCGAGGACCAGAUGGAGCUAGUGGAGGAGGAGGCCGGGGACGCCAUGGCGGCCGUGCUUGCAAGAAAUCCAUGGGCAGCGUAA
rnacentral:rRNA from 1 species